UAACAGGGCCAUCUCAUCUCUGGGAAACUGUUGAAUCUGGUCUUGGGCCAUAAUUCAUUCUUAUUAGAGCCAAUAAUUUCCAUCAUUAAUACAGUGGCUUCUUCUGGCCUACAGUUGGAAGAUAGGUUCUGAAGAAACUUAAACUUGUAAAAAUCCCUGGCAGAUAUUGCCCUGGUCAUAGGUGGCUCAACAUGCCUCAACAAAAAGGGUGAAAGAGAGCAAAGUAUCAUUUUAUUGGCAUAGUGAUGCAAGUGGUCCAGUUUUCUUAAAUUUUUCCUUAAGUUCAGAGAUGGCAUCCUCAAGGCUAAUUUUAGCUGAUGUCAACUUAUUUUCUCUUGGUCGGAUGAAAGUUCUGUGAAGUUCAGGGCAGUAACUGCACCUUAAAAGGGCACCUCUUCUCCUACUUUCUCUAGGCAAGGAUUGAAGAGACCAGCCUUUGGUAAGCCCAUAUGCUGUCACUCUACCUCCACAGAAGAUUUCUCAGUCCAAGUGAGAAGCUCAUGGUAUCACCGUGUUCCUCUCUCCUAUUCACACUGGGCAGCUAGGCAGAAGGUGAAGACUUCUGGCUGAGUACACGUGGGAACCUGACUCUGCCCUAGCAGGUAGUAGAGCACAAACUGGGAUGGGUAAUUCUGGUCCUUUCCUACUUUAAACAGUGAUGAGCUAAUGUAGCCUAACUAGGUAAUGCAAUGAGGCUGUGGGAAACAUGGCCAGAGAGGAUCUCCAUUCCUUGACGGACAUUCUCCAGGAAACUGCUGUUACUGCUCAGCACAAAGAGCAGAAGUUCUAAUGCCUUUCUCCAGAAGACUCAGUUUGGAUGUCAAGAGAAAGCAGGCACGUGUCUACCUUCUUCCAUGGAGCAUGAGUAAGAAACCUGUGGUCACCAUAUGGACAAAGCUCCUGGAGCACAGAACUCCACUGAGUUGAAUAUUUUCAGGCACAGAUCCUCACUUCUUGAGCCAUCAGGAUUGAAAAACAAGUCACUGGGGCCCUGGAAAGCACAAUUUUUCCUUUCCCACACAUGAGCUGCUUCGUCUAGUGGUUGGAGGGAAGCAGCACCUGUGCUUCCAUGCUCUCCAGGAAGGAUGACCUGGCUGUGCUGUCAGACUUGGACCAAGCUCCAGAGAUCUUGCUUGGACUGAAGGGUUUGGUACUCCAGCCAUGUGAGCGCCAUCAAAUAAGCAGGUAGGGAACAGGUAAGACUGGUGCAGAAGGCUCCC
rnacentral:lncRNA from 1 species